AUCAGCACGCCGCGGUGAAUACGUUCCCGGGCCUUGUACACACCGCCCGUCACACCAUGGGAGCCGGUAAUACCCGAAGUCAGUAGUCCAACCUCGUGAGGACGCUGCCGAAGGUAGGAUUGGCGACUGGGGUGAAGUCGUAACAAGGUAGC
rnacentral:rRNA from 1 species